rnacentral:rRNA from 1 species
UACGUAGGCAGCGAGCGUUGUUCGGAGUUACUGGGCGUAAAGCGUGCGUAGGCGGUUGUCUAAGUCUGGUGUGAAAUCUCCCGGCUCAACUGGGAGGGUGCGCCGGAAACUGGAUGACUGGAGUGCCGGAGAGGUAAGCGGAAUUCCUGGUGUAGCGGUGAAAUGCGUAGAGAUCAGGAGGAACACCUGAGGUGAAGACGGGUUGCUGGGCUGACACUGACGCUGAGGCGCGAAAGCCAGGGGAGCAAACGGG